rnacentral:rRNA from 1 species
CACGUAGGGCGCAAGCGUUGUCCGGAAUUAUUGGGCGUAAAGAGCUCGUAGGCGGUCUGUUACGUCUGCUGUGAAAACCCGGGGCUUAACCCUGGGCUUGCAGUGGAUACGGGCAGACUAGAGGCAGGUAGGGGAGAAUGGAAUUCCCGGUGUAGCGGUGAAAUGCGCAGAUAUCGGGAGGAACACCGGUGGCGAAGGCGGUUCUCUGGGCCGAAACUGACGCUGAGGAGCGAAAGCGUGGGGAGCGAACAGG